rnacentral:misc_RNA from 1 species
UGGGACUACCGGGGUAUCUAAUCCUGUUCGCUACCCAUGCUUUCGCUCCUCAGCGUCAGUUACUACCCAGAGACCUGCCUUCGCCAUCGGUGUUCUUCCUGAUAUCUGUGCAUUCCACCGCUACACCAGAAAUUCCAGUCUCCCCUGUAGUACUCAAGUCAGCCCGUAUCGCCUGCACGUCCAGGGUUAAGCCCUAGGAUUUCACAGACGACGUGACAAACCGCCUACGAGCUCUUUACGCCCAAUAAUUCCGGAUAACGCUCGCACCCUACGUAUUACCGCGGCGGCUGGCACU